GUACUUCAGUUGAUUUUCACAGCGUUAUCUCCAGCAUCUCCCAGCAUUGUUUACCUACUAUCUGCAAAUCAGGGGCCUGCAAAAUAAAAAAUCUCAGUGGCCUUUUUAGAAUUGCAUUCCAGCACAGUUCCUUGACUGAAUAACUAGAAUGUCUGCCAGGCAAGGCUAUGGGGAAGGAAGUUGUCUGUAUCUUUGAAAUGCUAUUUCAAACACGAUUCUUUUGCAGAAAUUCAGAGAGGAGUAACAGCCAAGAAGUGGUUUAUUUCCUUUGAAGUUACAGUUUCUGCCUUUUUUUCAGAUACUACCUCAUGCGGGAUGAAUUUAGACUCCAUCCUUCCAGACCUCUUUUUAUAUUUAUGCAUGAAUACCCCUAUGUGUGAGUUGUUUUGAACAUGAGAGAUACACACAUCAUGCUGCAACUUGCUUUUUGUCCUUCAACAAGAUUUUUUGAGAUCUCACCAAUUAAAGUCUACCUGGUUCUCUCCUUUGAUCUGCUGUACAGUGUUCUGCCAUAUAAACGUGCCAUUUUCUAGACUGUAACCAUUCUUCUGCUGAGAACAUGCUGUCUCCAAUUUUUCACUCUAACAAGCAAUGCUGCCGUGACUAGCCCUGACAUGCGUUCUUGGGCACCUGAACAAGUACUUCUGCAGGACACCCAUCAAAAAGUGGAGAGAUGAUGUCAUUACUUCUUUAAAAGAGCAUCUUGAUCCUUAACUCUUCGGAAGUUCCUUGAAAGCCAUGUGGGUCUGUCUGAUUUGUAUCACUAUCCCCAGAAUCCAGCACAGAGCCUGCCAGCUGGUGACUGCCUACCAUGCAUGGGGCUCCUGGUUUUUCCUUUGACCUCUUCAUUUCUCAGUCUCUUGCCUGGCUCCUCCUUGCCUCCAGCCCACUUCAAAGGUAACAGCUCAAGGUCUUCGCUCUUGGACUUUGCUUGUUUUUCCAGAGUCUCUUUCCUUUGGCCAGAAGCUCUCUUUCUAAGCUGUCCAUUAGAAUCAGUUGCGAAGGUUUUGAAAUGUACCAGCCCCCAAGCUCACUUCCCAGAAGUUCUGACAUGAUUGGCCUGCAGUGGGGUGAUUGCAGGUAAUGGUAUUUUUUUUCUCUUAGCUUUCCUUUUGAUAUUAACAGGAGACUAGAAAGGAGAACCUAGG